GGAGGGUCCAAGCGUUGUCCGGAUUUAUUGGGUGUAAAGGGUGUGUAGGCGGGCUUGUAAGUCAGAGGUGAAAUCCUACGGCUCAACCGUAGAACUGCCUUUGAUACUGCAGGUCUUGAGUCCUGGAGAGGUUGUUAGAAUUCGUGGUGUAGCGGUGAAAUGCGUAGAUAUCACGAGGAAUACCGGUUACGAAGGUUGACAACUGGACAGGUACUGACGCUGAGGCACGAAAGCGUGGGGAGCAAACAGGAUUAGAUACCCUGGUAGUCCACGCCGUAAACGAUGAUCACUCGGUGUCGCGGAGCAAUCUGCGGUGCCUAAGCUAACGCAUUAAGUGAUCCACCUGGGGAGUACGAUCGCAAGGUUG
rnacentral:rRNA from 1 species